GAUAGUUCAGCAGACUAACGCUGAUGAGCAAUAUUAAGUCUUUCGCUCCUAUCUGAUGUAUC
rnacentral:snoRNA from 1 species